CGCAACUAGAGAAAACCACGCGCAGCAAUGAAGACCCAAAGCAGCCAAAAAUAAAUAAAUACAUUUAUUAAAAAAAAAAAAAGACAGCAAACUACAUUUGCAUCCCUUAACUAGGGAAGGGCAACCAUCACGUUUCAAGGAAGCGUCUGGACUGCGGACGCUGUCCAUUAGCCUUGUAACUUUAAAAGGAAUUUAUCAAAUUUAGCAAAACAAGAGACAACUAACCCUGCAAUCAGGAGACCAGGAGUAAGGGAGUAAAAGAUGGCUCUGGCUGCACACCUAGUCGGGGCUGCGGCACCCAGAACUAGGAAGCUUUGCUCUCCUCUGGGUUUUGUCCCUCCCAGAUUUCUGAGCUCAGGAGCAGUCGCUCUGCACUGCAGCUUGAGCCAGUUGCGGAAGACCUAACCAAGCCCAGCCCAAAAGAAGGAACGGCUUCGGGGCUGUUUGUUUCUCUUUGAUAAAGGAGCCCUUCCUUGUUCUUGCUUUUCCUCUCUCUGGUAUUUGAUGCAAUAACCCCCCAGAAGCGAUUUAGAGUGACUGGUAAAACAAAGUAUACCAAAACCUCGCAGCAACCAAAAGGAUGAAGUUCCUUCUGGACUGCCUCCAGCUUCUGCCCUUACUGCUCAUCUGCACCUUGAGAGUCUCUCCUGAAGCUUUUCAUUCCGAAGAAGAGAAAAGCAGUCACCGGAGAAAUCGUCCUGAUUACUGGAGCUGGACAUGGAAUUGGGAGACUGACUGCCUAUGAAUUUGCCAAACUUAAAUGCAAACUGGUUCUGUGGGAUAUAGAUAAGGCAUGUGGGAUCUUAAUUCCCCAACCAGGGAUCAAACCCGUGCCCCCUGAAUUUGGAAUGUGAAGUCUUAACCACUGGACCGCCAGGCAAGUCCCUGAUCCCUCUGUCUUAAUCAUAUGGAAAAAGUUAAAGCCGGAUACGAGUUCGGAUUCUCCUCCUGUUAAGUCGAACGGAGCUCGAAAAAAUCACGGAGUGUGAUGUCUAAACACAAUGGAAUGAAAGAAGAAAAAUCUCUUAACUGAGAAAGGCUUCUGUGGAUGAGGAUCUAGGAGCUACGUAAAUGACUGGAGUGACGUGCUGAAGACCAGAGGUGGGUGGAGAGUAUUACCACUCCGCGUGAAGAGGUAACGGAGGCCAAAGGAAUGGCUGAAACGGAGCAGGAGAGAGUAGAGAAACUCCGCCGUGCAAGUCUUUCCAGCUGACCAACAAUGAACUCCUAGAAUACACCUAACAUAAGCAAGUACUGAGGAAGGUGUUCCCACCAAUCAGGAUACAGUGAAGUGUUGUAUUUAACUCAUAUGUCAUAAAAAAUCCUCCCCUGUAAUUUUCGUAGGGGUCUGGGAAAGGAUGGAGAAAGUCAUAUGUGCUCAGCUCGUGGAAUGUAAGCAGAAAUCCUAAAGCAUUGCUUUACCUAUUCUGGGUACUUGUGUGUGCUGUCUUGUGAAGCACCUGCUUAUGCAUUUUGCUCCAUUUUCUUUAGGGCUGCUCUUCUUCUGCGGCUUGGUUGUGAUUUCUUUUGUAAAUUAAGAAUACGAGCUCUCUGGCUUUUGUGCUGCAAACAUUUUCCUCAGAAGGUUGUUUGGUUUGCACUUUGCAUGACUGUGUGCUUGCUGUUUCAGGAAAUUUUGUUCGAUCACAUCUUUUCCUAUGUAUCAGUUGUCUUCAUUCUUUGGUUCCAUUUCUGAAUUCUCUGGUAUGUUUGAUCUGCUUGUGUUUGUUUGUUUUAUGUAUAGCUUUGUUGUUUGCAAUAAGCACGUAACGUUUACAAGAAUAGUACGAAAAACUCCCCGAAUAUUUAUAUUCUACCACAUUUGCUUUAUCUUUCUAUUAUUGGUAUUGUUAUUUUCUGAACCAUUUGAGAGUAAGUUGUACACACAAAGACUCUUUACUGCUAAAUAUUUCACUGUGUAUUUCCUAAACCUUAAAUAGCCUCACUGUGGUCAUCAAAAGAAGGAAAUUAGUAUGGAUUUAAUGCAUCCAUCUUGAGUUAAGACCUUAUUCAAAUUUUGCCUAUUUUCCUAAUAAUUUACUUUAUAGCAAUAAGGAACAAGGAAAAGAAGUCCCCUGCCCAGGAUCUACCCAGGAAUGUGCUCUGCUAGAUGUCAUCCCCUCUUAGUCAAUAAUCUGAAGCAAGCCCUUAGCCGUUUUUGUGUUUUAUGAUUUGACCCUUUGAAGAGUACAUUUUCUCUGUUGAGGUUUGUUUGACCUUACCUCGAGAUUAGACACAGUUUAUGCUUUUUGGGUUGGAACACGGAGUAAUGUUGAAUACUUCAUAGUGAUAUUAACAUUGAUCAUUUCGUUAAGGUAGUGUCUGACAGGUUCUCCACUGGAAGGAGAUUUUGAGACUAUAUAAAUACCUUGGUUUUAAUUACGGUAGAGAGUCUAGAGACAGCCACCACCAAAUCCUCCUGUACCACAUUGCAUGCUGCUUCUCACAUCAAGAGGUAGAAUCUAAUUUCCUCCCUUGAAUCUGAGCUGGCAGUGAUGAACGGCUUCACCAAUAGAAUGAGGUGGAAAGGAUGUUCUGGUGUCGCAGAGGCUAAAUCGCAAGUAGCUUCCCAGCCUCCACGUGGAUGUCUUGAAAGCAUUGCUCCCUGGCUAUCGCCUCUUAGAGCUCAGCUAUCGUGCUGUGAGAGGCCCAGGUUAUGUGGAGAGGUUCUGUGCAGGUGCCCAGGGUCACAGUCCUAGCUGAGCUCCCAGCUCCCAGUCAGCAUCAUUGAUAAGUGAGCUAGUUGAGGGGUUCAGUCCACACGAUGACUCCACCACCAGAUGCCAUCUGACUGCAGCCAUGUGAGUGACCCUGAGGAAGAACCAGAGAGCUGGGCCCUGACAAGCCACAGGGCUAUGAGAGGUGAUAAUAAUUUUUUGUCUUAAGCCUCUAAGUUUAGGUUGAUUUGUUGCACGGUAAUAGAUACAUACAACAACAGUUAGCUGGAACUGGGUUUCUGCUGUAAUAAAGACCGAAAACUUGCGGCAUUGGCCUUGGGACCAGGCAGCAAGUAAAUACUGGAAGGCCCUUGAGGACACAGCGAAAUCUGAGGGACAGUUAGGAAAUGAUUAUUGGAAGCUGGAGAAGUAAGGACUCUUGCUAUGUAGUCUCAGAAAGUUUGGCAAUAAUGUUGCCUCCAGAAAUGUGGCAGGUGGAAAUGAGCUAAUGGAUUUGGCCAAGGAGAUUCCAUGUAGAAUGUUCAAAGUCCCUCCUGUUUCUUUCAGCUACAUAUGCUAAAAGUAAAGGAUAGAGAGAAUUGAACUAAAAAGGGGUGCUCUUAAGUUUGGGGACAGUUCCCCGGGGAAUUAAGUUUUCUCAAGAUAAGAAAGGGCCUCUGGGUAAAGACCAAAUUGAGGACAUUAAUAGUAACACUGGUGUCAAGGUUAAAACAUAGUUAAGGGUGCAGCUGUAAUCCCCAUCGCUGAGUCGUCAGAAAGACUUGAGGGUGUGCCUUGCAGACCCAGUGAGGUGGACAGGAGCUUCUAAGAAUCUCAAGGACAUUUUCCCACAGUGACCUGACUCUCAGGCCAAGGUAGAGAAGUAGGUGCUUCCCAACGAGCUUUAGUUGUGGCUUUUGUAUAAAGGAGUGAACCCUAAUUAGAGUAGUGGGGAGCAUGUUAAGUUUUUAAGACGCAUUUUUAGAAGCACCAUCUGCUUGGAUUGAAAGGACAGGAGUAGUUCAAGGUGAAAAGGGCCUUAAGAGUCCCCAGCCGAUUCAGGCAGGAUACAUUUUGAGAAAGCUACUCAGCCAUUAAACACGGAUCAUUUCUUAUAGAAAAGGAAGUUUGGCUCACAAUGAAGAGCAGAGAGUCCA